AUUGAACGCUGGCAGCAGGCCUAACACAUGCAAGUCGAGCGGAUGAAGGGAGCUUGCUCCUGGAUUCAGCGGCGGACGGGUGAGUAAUGCCUAGGAAUCUGCCUGGUCGUGGGGGAUAACGUCCGGAAACGGGCGCUAAUACCGCAUACGUCCUGAGGGAGAAAGUGGGGGAUCUUCGGACCUCACGCUAUCAGAUGAGCCUAGGUCGGAUUAGCUAGUUGGUGGGGUAAAGGCCUACCAAGGCGACGAUCCGUAACUGGUCUGAGAGGAUGAUCAGUCACACUGGAACUGAGACACGGUCCAGACUCCUACGGGAGGCAGCAGUGGGGAAUAUUCGACAAUGGGCGAAAGCCUGAUCCAGCCAUGCCGCGUGUGUGAAGAAGGUCUUCGGAUUGUAAAGCACUUUAAGUUGGGAGGAAGGGCAGUAAGUUAAUACCUUGCUGUUUUGACGGUACCAACAGAAUAAGCACCGGCUAACUUCGUG
rnacentral:rRNA from 1 species